AAAAUAUUCGCUUUUCCCCGUUCGUAUUCUUGUCGAAAUUUUAAUUCCGUAAAAUGAAUAAUUGUGAAUUUAAUUUUAAUUUCUCUUUUAUGACGUGGCAGGAAGUUUUUGUGGAAAGUCCUAAUGGGAGGGGCACCACCCUCUAAGUUAUUUUCUUCUAUUUUCUGUGGGACGAGUAGCGGCGGCGGCAUUGUAGUUUGAGAAAGUCGGCAUGAGAGCUAAGUGGAAGAAGAAGCGUAUGAGGAGGUUGAAGAGGAAGCGCCGAAAGAUGAGGCAGAGAUCUAAGUAGUUUUGUUUUUUGAUUUCUAGGGUUUGAAAUUUAGUUCGAUUAUAAUUUUCUUUCAUUUUGAAUCGCACUUUGUUAUGCGUUUUAUUGGAUGGUUGAGUUUGAGUAUUUUCUUUAUAUUCAGUUUCCACUUCGUUGUGAUUGCUUAGUUUCUGUCCAAUUUGAUUGAUUUUUUUCAACAAAGUUUUCUCUUUUGUUAUAGUUGGACUUUGGUCCACAAGAAAUUCUGCAAACUUACAAACACUGGUCUUUUAUUUCCAUUUCCGCAAUAUUGAUCAUGCCUUGUGUGAUAAGUUCUGAUAAAACUGAGAAACCAAAACUCAUGAUCACAUCUAAUCAGAAAGGUGAUACUACUGUAUUUCAGUGGACCAUUUGUGAUAAUUUCUCGCAUUUGUGUUCUGGCCUUGAUCUCAGUGAAGAAUCUGGCCUUGAUUUCAGUGAAGAAUCGAUCUCUCUCUGUUCUCCAUUUCUUCUCUGCUGCAGAUAAUGAACUUACGGGGAGAUUCUUCUGUCAUUUUGAAACUUUGUCGACUCUUGAUCUCAGCCGGAGUUCUCUGCAAGGAAAAAGCUUCCUAAAUUUCUGACUCAAUGCAGUGAGCUAGAAUGCAUUACAUGACGCUCUCCCCUGCUGGCUUGAAGCUUUGCCUAGGCUUUGUAUUCUUGUUUACUACAGAGAUUCACCUUGAUCGACUUGUCACGCAACCAUCUCCAAGGAAUGAUGCCAGAAGAAAUUGGAGAACUUGUUCUACAAUGCUCUCUCCGGCCAUUUCCCAACAUCGAUGGGAAAUCUAGAGCAACUCAGAUCAUUAGAUCUGUCUUUCAACACUCUAGGGGGAGAAAUCCUGCAUCAGCUUGAUGAUUUGAAACUCCGUUUGUAGGCGACGAAAUGCUCUGUGGCUUCGCUGUAAACAAUACCUGCAUUGAUGAUGGACCAUUUUGUGUUGAUUAAGAAAUGUUAACUGAUCAGUGUGUGUUUUACA